CCUGCAAGACGGAGGUAACAGAUUGCACAAACACAUUGAAACAUUUUCAGCUGUUCACUAACACUGUUACAUUUUCUGGAAUUUUCAAUGGAAUGGGAGAAUACAAUAGGAGAGGCGAAUACCCAAUAUUUCAAGAAGAAUAAACGAAAAGCGCAGUUUAUUUUGGAUUUUAAAGAGAGAAAACGAAAGAGAAAACGAAAGAGGUUAACAAGGAGAAAAAUAAAUCAUUUGGACCAUUGGUAAAAUUCAAAUCUAUUGCGUGCAGCAACCAAAUAAUGGAGUAUGUUUUAAAUUAUUAAAGUUAAAUAGUGUAUAUUUAAUUGAAAUAUUUGUUAUAGAUUGUGCAUUUUAUUUUGAUUUUAUUAUUAAAUAAAGAGAAAUAAUAAAAAAACUGAGUUUUAUUUAAAAGAAUUUAAUUUGCUGAAGUAACAAAUGGGUAACAGAUAAUCUUGUUACUGCUUGUUCUUCCUAACAUGCUUAUAUGUUAAAGGUAACAAACUGAUAACCAAAAUAAUAACACUAACAAAUAUUCGGGUAACAAAUACUUUUUGUUAUCCAUAACACAUGGGUAAGCUAAGCGCUAACAAAAUAAUUUGUUACCCGUAACAUGCUGUGAAGAGAUUUGCUAACAAAUGUGUGUAUUCUGUUAGAACAAGGCAGCAUGCGAUAUUUGCCAUUGGUUAGAGCGAGAUAACCAUUGAACAUCAAAUAGCUAUGUGUUACUUUUUUCCCACUCUCUGAACAAAAGUAACAAAUAUUUUAACGAAUGCAAAAGUGAACAAUAACAAUUCGCUUACACGUUUGCUAACAGCUACCCGUCUUGCAGGGUGUGGUGUGAAAUGCAUUACACUAGCAUAGAGUUGUAAAUAAUAAUAAUUAAAUAAAAAUAUUUUGGCUUUAGCAUAAAAUUUAUGUAAAAUUAUCUUUUAGAUGAGUAAAUUAGUCCUAUCUAUUGAUUAUCCUUUACUCACCCAAAGGAAUUUGUCGGAUAAUUUGUUAUCGUUAUUGUUUUAUUUGUCGUAUGUUUUCGACAAAAUGGCCUGCCACCAAAGGAAAUAUUAAAUACAAUUUGUUUUUUUUUUAAUAUUUUUUUCUGCAAAUAUAUGUAAAAGGAUUCAAAAUAAACGUAUAUUAGUGGAGUUUUAUUUUUUUUUUUAUAAAGAAGAUGGCCAUGCGGUAGAGGGUUAAAUUUGCAUAUUUAUUUAAAUUUUUUUUUUUCCUUUUAUGUUACAGAUUUACAGAAUAAAAUAACACUAACAGCGACUUCCGAAUUGCAAAAAACGUAAAGAACGUUUUCGGUGUGUCAGCAAGUUCAGCGGCUGCACUUCACAGCACCGAAUAUUCUCGAUCAUGUUUGUUCUCGAACUCUCGACGAGUCACUCAAGGAGGACGAUGCGUCAAUUGUUAAGAAUAGGAAACAGUGGAAAAUAUAUUAGUCAAAGAAAAACACCAAGUUUUGUAUUUAAUAUAAAAACGGUUGGUUCUUUAGUAUGACUAAUAAAUUGUUAUAUAUUACCUUGUUAGUGUUUAUGAUAAUGGUGAUGAUGGCCGGUGGACGUCUUAAUUAUCUCCCUUCUUCUUUGAAAAAAGAGAAAUAAAAAAAAGCUAGCAGGAUCGCUUGCUAAGCUACUGAGUAAAGUGAAGCGGGAGAUUUUAACAAAACUAUUGUCAGUUGAGUGAAAGUUAUUAGCGGUUUAUGUCAACAGCUAACUGGCAAUAGUUUGUUAUAUACUCACUAGGGUUGGUAGUAAGAAAUUAGGCACUGGCCUAAACAAAUGGAGAUGGACAACCUUCUGGAAAAAGGUUUGGGCGGAUUACAAAACCCACAUUAAGGCUAAAGCUCGCAAAAAUAAGUUGCAUAUGUCGGGGACAGGUGGUGGGCCUGCAAAAGGUUAUUCCAUCAAUGCAGUUGAAUUAAGAGCAUUUGAUUUACUGCAUAUAAAUCAAGCAGUAGAUGGGAUGGUAGAUGCUCAAAAGUUCGGUCUGGGAACAAGUGAAGUCACACAGAACGACAUAAGUGAUUUACAAAAUUUAGAAGAACUACCAUCUUUAACACCACCUUCUCACCUGAAAACGUCACCAAAAUGUAGCACUGCGCGGUCAAGUACCGCAAGUAAAAACAAUCUCUUGAAAAUGCAAGUAGACGGGCAAAUAAAGUUUCACAAUGAUUGUACUAAGAUUUUAAAAGGCGUGAAUUACAAUUUAAAAUCUUUAGUUAAAUCUAAUAAGCAACUUGUUGAACAAAAUGAAGAAAAAAUUGAACUAUAAAGACAAAAACUAAAGUUUGCAAAGUUAAAGCAUGAGUACCAAAUUAAAAGCGGCAGGGAGAGGAACAAUAUAAGAAUUGCAAAAUUUAAAAUCACAGAACAAAUGAAAACUCGUUUUGAUCACCGUUGGGUAAAGCAAAAUGCAUUAGUUUCAAUUACUGUUGGUGCUUCAACGUUGUAUAUGAAUAAUUAGUAAGCCUUAGACUAUAUAUAAAUACAAGUACAAGCGGUUUGAAUAAAAUCACCGACCAAUUAACCAUGAAGAUUUAUCUCCAUUUUGGUAGUUAGAUAGCAUGUGUUGUCGUUCGUUUGAAAGGCUCCAUACGUGGGCAUCAUGCGCUGCCCCACCAUAAACUCCAUUUACAGCUCUUACAUACAUGUUAUGGUCACAAAUCUAAUUAUAAUAUAAAGUAUAAUAAAUAAGUCUGAAUAAUACAUCGUAAUAUAAACUUACCACCAUAGCAUUGACGCUAUGCUUUAGGUUUCGAUUAAAAAAGAGAUGUUCAUCUUUUACUGGUCUAACCCUCUGGAUGUGAGUUCCAUCAACAGCACCUAUUAUUCCUGGUAAUCCAAAUUUUGAAUAAAAAUAACUUUUAGCUUCACGCUUUUCUUGUGAGCUCAUUUCAAAUUUUAUAUGUUUCGGACACAUUGUUUUUUCAAUAGCGUUCAAAACUUCUGCAAUACAUUUAGAUGUAAUGGACUGUGCUAACCCUGCAAACCGGUCUUGCCCUAUUUGAUGUUGAUAGCCCCCUUGACCAAGGAAUUUUAAAGUAGCACCAUUUAUAGCUGGAUUUAUUGCCGUGGAUCUUAUAGGCACCGUUUGUUUUUCAGUUAUGCCUCUUAAGACAUAAUCAAAGGCUUCCUUAGAAAGUCUAAAGCUUUGUAUGAAGUUAUAAUCCCAAAUGUAAAAAUGGUUUAUAACCGAACAUAACACAUACAUACAUAUGUACAUAACAAAUUACUUUUUUCCAUAAUAUUAAAUUCAUUUCUUAUAUAUCUUCUCGUAAUUCUUUCCUCAAUAAAUACUGGCACAUGGUGGUACAACUUUCGCAUAUUUAUAAACUGAAUUCAAUUUUUUUUACAGAAUACUAAAACACAUUCGAAGUCGAAUAUCAAAUUCGAACAGAAUUUACUUUCGAAUCGAGAUACAGAAUAGGCCCCAGGAGUUUAAUAGUAGAAAAAAAUUAUCUAAGACGAGUUUUAUAAUUUUUUUUUUUUACCGUUAAUUAAAACGGUUGCGUCCGAAUCUUUUUUUACUAAUUUUGCUGUGUCCAUUUUGCUUAAUUUGUUGCCUAAUCUGCUGUUAGAUUUAAAAGAAACUUUUUUUUUUAAUUUUUGUUUGCCUAUUUCUAUUAUGGCAAUUAAGUUCCGGAUGAUGCAAAAAACUGGUUUUCGUUUAAACGGUCGAACAUGAAAUCAUACUUUAUUGCUCUAUAUUUGUGAACGAAGCAACAUGGAACGUGCAUUAGUUGCAGCACUUGUAAUUGAUAUUUUAGAAGAAGACGAAGUAGAACAAAAAAAGCAGAAAAGACAGAAAAAAACUUGGGUAAAGUAAUGGCGAUCAAGAAGACCAGUUUUUUCACAUAUAAGCUUGUUAAAGGAACUUGAACAGUCCAGCCCGGCGGACAACAAAAGUAUUCUCCGAAUGGAUUCUUCUGUAUAUAGGGAGCUUUUGGAAAAAGUAACACCUUAUAUAGAAAAACAAAAUACUAUUAUGUGAGACGCAAUUUCUCUCUCUAACAUUGAGGUAUUUGGCAACUGGAGAGAGCUACGAAAGUUUGAAAUUCCAGUCGUAUAUUUCAACUGCAAGUUUAAGCAACAUAAUUAUUGAGACAUGUGAAGCGUUGAUUAAAGUUCUUAAAGAUUUUAUUUCAGUAAGUAUAUACUAUAUAUUACAUGAAAAUGGAAAACAAAACAAAAAUAAAAUAUUUCUUCAAAUCAAUAAAAAUAACAAAAAUAAAAAGAAAAGUUUGCUUAUGAAUAGCCAGAGUCGUUCAACAAGUCCGUAAAUGUCUGAUAUUCCGUGUUGUUUCCGUAUUGUUAAGUAUUUAUGGUUUCCUGUGGUUGUAUGCUGAUGCUGGAAAUAUUUUGAUAUUGCUGUGGCUGAACCGUUCUAUGAAGUCUGAUGUGCUGAACUUGAGGUUGAGGAGUAGAUAUAAUUUGCGGUGGACUCAGAAGCGGGGCAUAAAUUAAGUAUUCCGAACGACUUUGCAAUGUUCUUGAAUCAAAACAUGUUGAUGAGUUGUCACUAUAAGAGAAAGGUGUUGAUGAGAUCUGAUGCGAAUUUUCGUUUAACCGACCCAAAGCUCCUUGCUACAACACCUCCAUAAUGGUUUUAUUGGCAACUAAUUGUUGAUUAGGGUCAAGUUUCCUGAAGUGUACUUCCCCAGUCGAACUGAAGGUACUUGCAUCGUCAUUGGGCCGCGUCGAAUCUUCUAAAGUUUUGACUGCUUUAAUAAGCAACUGUUGUUUUUCUUUUUUUCCAAAUUCCACUUUGUCUUUUUUUGCGCAAGGUGCAUUCUGAAAGUAGUAAAUAAA